GGAAGGGUGCCCUUCGGGGAAUUCCGAGACAGGUGCUGCAUGGCUGUCGUCAGCUCGUGCCGUGAGGUGUUGGGUAAGUCCCGCAACGAGCGCAACCCCUAUUGCCAGUUGCUACCAGGUAAUGCUGGGCACUCUGGUGAGACUGCCCCGGUUAACGGGGAGGAAGGUGGGGACGACGUCAAGUCAUCAUGGCCCUUACGCCUAGGGCUACACACGUACUACAAUGGCGCAUACAAAGGGCAGCGAUACCGCGAGGUGGAGCCAAUCCCAAAAAGUGCGUCCCAGUCCGGAUUGCAGUCUGCAACUCGACUGCAUGAAGUUGGAAUCGCUAGUAAUUCGAGAUCAGCAUGCUCGGGUGAAUGCGUUCCCGGGCCUU
rnacentral:rRNA from 1 species